ensembl:lncRNA
GGUUGGCAUGUUUCUUGGCACUAAUGGUGUGAUUGAUGAUGGAUUUCUGUCCACAGUUUGGCGUUGAACUAGGUUUCAUUUUGCAUCUAGCCAAAUGUAUGAAUCAGGUUGUGUUUUGUAAAUUACUGUCUGUGAGUAGUUUGUGGUUGUUUCUUUUAUAUGCCCAGUUGCUACUGUUCAUUUACUCUUAUUUAUUUAUUUUUAUUUUUUUUACAAAAAUGUAAUCCAGGACCCUCUUUAGAGGUCAGACUGAGUAGGUAUAAUUACUCUGGAUUCAUACAUCUCUGUUUACCUGCUGUUGAUGGGUAGAGAUUUGGUAAAAUACAAGUCAUUGCUUUCAUGUUCACUGUCAAAUAGUUCUUUGCCCGAGUAAGUUGACUGGUAAGUUUACGACUUGUAUGUGAAUCAGCAGUCCUUGUUCUCUAAAUCAUUACUCCUUUUCCUUUUUACAGGAAAAACUUUGUGUUUUGUUUCAGAGUUUUAAAUAAAAUGAGCUUAUGAUCUGUCUAUUGUUUUUGUAUUUCUUUGCAGUAGAGUGCAGAGCUUCCUUUUAAAUUUGUGCGGUCUAAAAUUAAUAAAAGCUGAGAUAAAACUAAUGACUUGCAUUCGUUGUAUAUUUGGUCAUACACAUACAUAUAUUAGUUCAAAGAAAAAAGUGAAAGAGAAGUUACAUAAGUGCUUUAAAUAUUGUAAUUUAAAUGUCAGGGCUAGAAAUAUAUCCAGAGAAUGUAAUCAUUAAGGAAACUUCACUCACUAAGCAUUAAAACACAAAAACAGACAUAUGUCUGCUGAACUUCCUGUGCAUUGGGUGGAGCUCUCUGGAGAUGAAGAGAGAGCAGUGAUAGUAGUGAGUGUGUGCAGAACAAGCAAUGAUUUGAGGAGACGUGUAACUUGUCUUGGAUAUUUAAAAACAUUUAAUAAACUCAGAAUGAGAGCCUGUUUAUUCCUCUGGAUUUUAUGGGAUCAGACUUUAGACUUUUCAGCAUCUGAAGAUUUGCAUUCCAUCCAAAGGCUUGAGGGUGAAUCUGUGGACAUAGAUUGUGUUGCAGAAGCAAGUAAACCCCGCCCAGCGCUUCUGCACCUGAGACGAAGGUUUGCUCCUUCAGAAAGUCUGUUGAACAUCUCCGAAGAUAACGUCGUGAGAGCAGAUCCAGAGAUUGAGGGACGAAUCAGUAUAUCUGGACAGCUUAAGUUAUUCACUGUUACUCUGACUCUUUCUCAUUUAAGAGCCACAGACACGGGGCUUUAUUUCUGUGAUUUCUCAGGAAAUCCAUCAGAUCCGCUCCCGGCGAUCACCGCUCUCUUUCUGCUUGUAAAAGCGCCAGGUGAGUCGUGCUCCUGUAGGAGGUAUUCUCUGCUUAUAUAUUCCAUCACAGGAGGAGUGAGUCUGCUCUUACUCUCGGCCAUCGCUGUCUUUGGGACACAUUAUAAAAAGCCACAAGCUCAACCAGAGUGUCAAAGCACAGUUCCAAUUUAUGAAGACAUGUCAAGUGUGAAAGGAAAAGGAAGCAGUCCUUGGAUUUGUCCACCAGACCCUGAAACAUCUGCUCCAGGGUGGAAGACUAUGCUGGAAAACCUCUAUGGAUCCCCCAAUCGGAAAAAUGUGGAACAGCAACAGGAAAGGGAAUUGUCAUAA